AGCACUCUGUGUGGGGAACAUGAGAGCCAGACCAAAGCUCAGAGGAACCCACCUGGACCUCCACUCAGCUCUGUGUCCUUACAGAGUGACCGGUCUAAAGGUUUCCUCAUUGAUUUUAAAGUCUCUGCUGCAGAGAGAGGUCAGAGGUCACAGUCUGCAGGGUCCAGCUGUCCGUCUGUGAGGAGUGACCGGUCCAAACAUGAACCUCCAGACUUCAGUGGUGAACCUGGACCAACGAGGUCAGAGAGCUGUGAUGACUCCUUUACAUGUUUGUGUUUCCUGGAUAAAUCUGACCUGAAACAUCCUCAGAUUGUUACAAAGAUUCAUUAAAAAGAAAACAAUGAAA